UCUGUGGUGGGAUAGAAUCUCAGCUUCAUUCCCUCACCCACCUGUCAACCAUUGAUUUUGUAAUGGAAGCUCAUAAAAAUGAUUGGUGGAUACAUUUAAUACCAAAUCUGAGUGGUUGCAAAUCACACACAGCUUUUAUCAUUCAGUAUUUCUAUCAAAUUUGUAAGCCUAAAAAAGAAGAGAGUUGCACAGAAAAAUCAGCACUCAGUCUAUUUAUCUUUCUUAAUUUGUGGUGGGAGGAGGAAGAAGAGAAAAUGUAUGCACCACCGGGUUACCAAGAAAUGUCCCCGGUUGAUCACGUUUGACGGCGCCACGAGGAGAAGGGGUGCCUCUAUGCUUGUUUGUUUGCAGCUUCUUCUUGUUUCUGCUGCUAUGAGACUUGUGAGUGCUGUUUAGAUGUACUGUGUUGUUGCUGCACUUGAAUUUGUCAUCUUUUAUUUGGAGAUGGAGUCUCAGUUUCAGGAGGCUCUGAGUUUAAAUUUUAUAGACGACGGUUUUAAUAAAAGUAAAAAGAAUCGGAGAUUAGAUUUUUUUUAUAUUUUAUUUUAUCUUAUUUUUUAAAUUUCUCAUGAAUAAAUUAUGUAAUAAACUAAGCUUUAGGCUCUACUCUAGAGAUCCCUUAAAAUUGAGCUCAUAUAAAUAUUAUAAAAAAUGCUACUCUAGUUAUAUUUUAUAUAUCAUAUUGUAGGUUCUUUUCAGAUUUCGAAGUUUGGAGUUGAUGGACUGUGUAAUCUAGAUUGUUCAAAAGACGGAGAAAGAUCCAAACCCUUGAAUUUUGUGAGGUGAGCAAAUGAAAAAGACUAGUGAGAGUUGUAAGAUUUGAAAUGUGAUCUAGAUUAUUUGAUCCGUCGACUUCAGACCCUGAGAUCUGAAAAGAAUCUCAAUUCCAUUUG